rnacentral:rRNA from 1 species
CACGUAGGAGGCGAGCGUUGUCCGGAAUCCUUGGGCGUAAAGAGCGCGCAGGCGGCUUGGCAAGUCGGGUGUGAAAUCCCGGGGCUCAACCCCGGGACUGCAUUCGAUACUGUCAGGCUAGAGGUAGGUAGGGGAGAUCGGAAUUCCUGGUGUAGCGGUGAAAUGUGCAGAUAUCAGGAGGAACACCGGUGGCGAAGGCGGAUCUCUGGGCCUUACCUGACGCUCAGGCGCGAAAGCUAGGGGAGCGAACAGG